rnacentral:tRNA from 1 species
UGUUCAGUGGCUUAGUUGGUUAAAGUGCCGGACAAACGAUACGGUGUCGUGGGUUCGAAUCUCACCAAAACAA